GCUGAUGCGUGCUUCUGAACAGCUGACCCUGAGGCCUUCAUCCACCUCUUGACCAGGACCCCCUCAUCAGGGCUUCCAUCCAGGAAUUUGAGAAGGAUUUAAACACCAUGAAGAAAAAGAGUUUGCUGUGAAAUUUGUGGAGGGAAGAGCAAUAAAAAGUCAACAUCUCCCAGCGGGACAGGACGAGUGCGCUGCUAUUUCCCGAAAGGCGCUCAGGAAGGGCCCUGCCUCCGGGUGGGGAGGAGAGGCGGGCAGCCUGGACUUAACCAGAGCCUGCCAGUUGCUCGUGUUUAUUGAGGGCCAUCUGCUCUCAGGGCCCUCAAUCUUGUACUCGGUCUAUUUGGAAAAGGAUUUAAAGGGCAAAGAAAAUAAUAUCUUCAUCUACUAUUCGGGCUUUUCCAGGACAAUACUGAUUUCAAAUAUUUUAUCCUCCUGUCGCCUUAAGCUAUCACAAAUGUUUUAGAAAUCCCAACUUCGUAGUGUCUAAAUGGAAUUUUCAGAAUUGCCUGUAAACCUCUUACCUUCUGCAGCACAAAAUCCUUUCUCUGAACACACAUCUCAGAUUUUUGGCUGGGAUAAUACAGUCAUCAUAGAAUACUGAACAGAAGGAAUUUCAAGGAAGGCAAUUUAAAGUUAGAGGGAAGAGCAGUAAAUGUAAAACUAUAAACAAAUAAAAAUGAAAUAAUAGCUCGUUCUUAUUGAGAGAUUUAGUGCCGUGCUUAUGGUUGUGGAUACUGAAGCCAGUCUCUCUGGGUUCAUAUCCCAGCUUUGAUACUUACUAGCUGUGUGACCUGGACAAGCCAGUUAACCUCUCUGUGCCUCAGUUUCCUCAUCCACUAAAAUGUGGAGAAUGGUACAGGGUUAUGAGGGUUUCGUGAGGCUUUUUUUUUUUUUUUUUUUUUUUGAGACAGAGUCUCGCUCUGUUGCCCGGGCUGGAGUGCAGUGGCACGAUCUCGGCUCACUGCAAGCUCCGCCUCCCGGGUUCACGCCAUUCUCCUGCCUCAGCCUCCCGAGUAGCUGGGGCUACAGGCGCCCGCCACCACGCCCGGCUAAUUUUUUGUAUUUUUAGUAGAGAUGGGGUUACACCGUGUUAUCCAGGAUGGUCUCGAUCUCCUGACCUCGUGAUCCACCCACCUCGGCCUCCCAAAGUGCUGGGAUUACAGGCGUGAGCCACCGCGCCCGGCCCUUGAAGCUUAAGUAUAUUACAACAGGAAUUUAGAGCUGAGCCCGGGGCAAAGGAAGCACUUUAUUCGGAUUUGCUCUUGUCAUUGGCCCUCACCCUGGGCGGGGUGGUAAUCUAUUUACACAAACGAACUCAUUUAACCUUCACCACAGGCCCCCCCACCCCCAGACAGGUCCCCUCAGUAUUCCUCCUGGGCAUUUGAGGAACCUUAGACCCGCAGAGGCUAAGUGACUCACCUAAGUCACCCUCCUUGGAGGUGGAAGAGCCAGAAUUCAAUCCCAGGUCCCAGAACUUAUGACCACCUUGCUCACUAUAAACAUAAGUGAACAAAAAGUGAUAGAGAUAUUUUAAAGCAGUGCAAGUCCUUGCUUCUUUGUGACCUGAAACUCCAUCGACUGCUCACCUGGUAUUGCCCCUAAACCACUUUCAGUUGUGUUGAUCCAUCCACUUCUCAAUAUCAGCUGUCGAUAUUGAGUGGCCAAUUUCCGCCAAACUCCGAUUAAACUCUUGGCACAUGCUGGAGUCAGCCUUCUGCCUUCCUGCAGAGAGCCUUCUGACAGGGACAGGCGUCUUCCGGCCACAUGGGGUUCAGGAGGAGGACAAAUGCUCCAGCACUGAUCUGGAAAAGACUAUAGCAAAGCAUAUCGCCCAUCAGCCUCCAGAAGGGCUAAGGGGCUAUAGAUGGAAGAAAGGCUGCAGGAAUACAUAAUAGCUUGGUAAAUAAUUUGAAGUCUUUGAAAAUUAUUUCUGUCACUGUUGUUUGAGCCACCUUUUCAUUACUCAAUAUGCCUGAUUUAUGGAUAUCACAUUUAGGUGAGUGAGUCAUUAAAACAUGCAUAUAAAGUUGUCACACACAGACACUUGAUGACUGUAGAUGAGAUUAUUUAUUGGAAAAUAAAGGUGAAUGUUGUAACAAGGGCAA